GGUCAAGUUAUUAAGGGUGCAGGGCGGAUGCCUUGGCACUAGGAGCCGAUGAAGGACGUGAUAAGCUGCGAUAAGCUUCGGGGAGUUGCACGUAAACUUUGAUCCGAAGAUUUCCGAAUGAGGAAACUCACUUAGAGUAAUGUCUAAGUAUCAUUAAGUGAAUACAUAGCUUAAUGAGGGGAACUCAGGGAACUGAAACAUCUAAGUACCUGAAGGAAGAGAAAGAAAUUCGAUUCCGUAAGUAGCGGCGAGCGAACGCGGAUUAGCCCAAACCAAUAAAGUUUUCUUUAUUGGGGUUGCGGACAUAUCAUAACGAAGAGGUAUCGUAAUUGAAGAGGUUUGGAAAGACCCACCACAGAAGGUAAUAGUCCUGUAUGUUAAACGAGAAGACUUUAGAUAUGAUCCAGAGUACCACGGGACACGUGAAACCCUGUGGGAAGCAGGAGGGACCACCCUCCAAGGCUAAAUACUACCUAGUGACCGAUAGCGUAUAGUACCGUGAGGGAAAGGUGAAAAGAACCCCGGGAGGGGAGUGAAAUAGAACCUGAAACCCUGCACUUACAAGCUGUGGAAGCACAUUUCUUGUGUGACCGCGUACUUUUUGUAGAACGGGCCAACGAGUUACGUUAAGUAGCAAGGUUAAGCACUUAAGGUGUGGAGCCGUAGCGAAAGCGAGUUUUAACUGAGCGUUCAGUUACUUGACGUAGACCCGAAACCGGGCGACCUACCCAUGAGCAGGAUGAAGCGAAAGUAAAAUUUCGUGGAGGUCCGAACCCACGAGCGUUGAAAAGCUCGGGGAUGACUUGUGGGUAGCGGUGAAAUUCCAAUCGAGCCCGGAGAUAGCUGGUUCUCCCCGAAAUAGCUUUAGGGCUAGCCUCAAGGUGAGAGAUACGGAGGUAGAGCACUGAAUGUCCUAGGGGGUAUUGCACCUACCGAAGACUAUCAAACUCCGAAUGCCGUCAUCUUAUACUUGGGAGUCAGACUGUGGGUGAUAAGAUUCAUAGUCGAAAGGGCAACAGCCCAGAUCGUCAGCUAAGGUCCCUAAAUGUAAGUUAAGUGGUAAAGGAUGUGGGAUUGCACAGACAACCAGGAUGUUGGCUUAGAAGCAGCCACUCAUUCAAAGAGUGCGUAAUAGCUCACUGGUCGAGUGAUCCUGCGCCGAAGAUUUCCGGGGCUAAAACUUACUACCGAAGCUACGGCAUCAGUAAUGAUGGGUAGGGGAGCUUCCCAUACGGGUUGAAGCAUGACCGUAAGGACAUGUGGACAGUAUGGGAGUGAGAAUGUUGGCAUGAGUAGCGAGAUGUGGGUGAGAAUCCCACAGGCCGUAAACCCAAGGUUUCCAGGGGAAGGUUCGUCCGCCCUGGGUUAGUCGGGACCUAAGCUGAGGCCGAAAGGCGUAGGUGAUGGACAACAGGUUGAUAUUCCUGUAC
rnacentral:rRNA from 1 species